rnacentral:rRNA from 1 species
AUUGAACGCUGGCGGCAGGCCUAACACAUGCAAGUCGAACGAGUGGCGGACGGGUGAGUAAUGUCUGGGAAACUGCCCGAUGGAGGGGGAUAACUACUGGAAACGGUAGCUAAUACAGCAUACCAUCGGAUGUGCCCAGAUGGGAUUAGCUAGUGGGUGGGGUAAUGGCUCACCAGGGCGACGAUGCCUAGCUGGUCUGAGAGGAUGAGCAGCCAAACUGGGACUGAGACACGGUCCAGACUCCUACGGUAGGCAGCAGUAGGGAAUAUUGCACAAUGGGCGCAAGCCUGAUGGAGCCAUGCCGCGGGUAUGAAGAAGGUUUUCGGGUUGUAAAGUACUGUCAGCGGGGAGGCGGUACCCGCAGAAGAAGCACCGGCUAACUCCGUGCCAGCAGCCGCGGUAAUAC